rnacentral:sRNA from 1 species
GAUGGAUGACAUCCAGCUCUGCAAGGACAUCAUGGACUUGAAGCAGGAGCUGCAGAACUUGGUCGCCAUCCCAGAAAAAGAAAAAACCAAACUGCAGAAGCAGAGAGAGGAUGAGCUAAUCCAGAAGAUCCACAAACUGGUGCAGAAGAGAGACUUCCUGGUGGACGAUGCGGAGGUCGAGCGGUUACGGUGAGUGCACUGCGGGUACCCACACACUGGGCUGCAGGACCGCAACCUUCUGCUUCCUUCC